GUUUAUUAUAAUGCAUUGUAAAACCUUGACAGAUUGAACAAGCCAGUCGCUUAUAUCUAAUGCAUUGCGUAUUGUAAAAGAUUUUUGCCUUUCUUAUGUAUCAUAUAUGCAACUCUCCAUGUUUAACGAAGCGGCUUAUCCAUAGUUCUCAUAUUGUUAAUAUUUUACAGUCCUUGUCAAUGCAAAAAUAAAGAAUACCUUUUUUUUUU